AGGAUGAACGCUGGCGGCGUGCUUAAUACAUGCAAGUCGAGCGGUAACACUUCGGGUGACGAGCGGCGGACGGCUGAGUAACGCGUAGGAAUGUACCCCAAACUGAGGGAUAAGCACCAGAAAUGGUGUCUAAUACCGCAUGUGCUCUAAGGAGUAAAGCUUCGGCGGUUUGGGAACGGCCUGCGUAUGAUUAGCUUGUUGGUGAGGUAAUAGCUCACCAAGGCAACGAUCAUUAGCUGGUCUGAGAGGAUGAUCAGCCAGACUGGGACUGAGACACGGCCCAGACUCCUACGGGAGGCAGCAGUAGGGAAUUUUCCACAAUGGACGAAAGUCUGAUGGAGCAACGCCGCGUGCAGGAUGAAGGCUUUCGGGUCGUAAACUGCUUUUAUCUGUGAAGAUUAUGACGGUAGCAGAUGAAUAAGGAUCGGCUAACUCCGUGCCAGCAGCCGC
rnacentral:rRNA from 1 species